rnacentral:rRNA from 1 species
UCAUUGGAANCCGGGGAACUUGAGUGCAGAAGAGGAGAGUGGAAUUCCAUGUGUAGCGGUGAAAUGCGUAGAUAUAUGGAGGAACACCCNGUGGCGAAGGCGACUCUCUGUCUGUAACUGACGCUGAGGCUCGAAAGCGUGGGUAGCAAACAGGAUUAGAUACCCUGGUAGUNCACGCCGUAAACGAUGAGUGCUAAGUGUUGGAGGGUUUCCGCCCUUCAGUGCUGCAGUUAACGCAUUAAGCACUCCGCCUGGGGAGUACGACCGCAAGGUUGAAACACAAAGGAAUUGACGGGGACCCGCACAAGCGGUGGAGCAUGUGGUUUAAUUCGAAGCAACGCGAAGAACCUUACCAAGUCUUGACAUCCUUUGACCACUCUAGAGAUAGAGCCUUCCCUUCGGGGACAAAGUGACAGGUGGUGCAUGGUUGUCGUCAGCUCGUGUCGUGAGAUGUAGGGUUAAGUCCCGCAACGAGCGCAACCCUUAUUACUAGUUGCCAGCAUUCAGUUGGGCACUCUAGUGAGACUGCCGGUGACAAACCGGAGGAAGGUGGGGAUGACGUCAAAUCAUCAUGCCCCUUAUGACUUGGGCUACACACGUGCUACAAUGGAUGGUACAACGAGCAGCGAACUCGCGAGGGUAAGCGAAUCUCUUAAAGCCAUUCUCAGUUCGGAUUGUAGGCUGCAACUCGCCUACAUGAAGCCGGAAUCGCUAGUAAUCGCGGAUCAGCACGCCGCGGUGAAUACGUUCCCGGGUCUUGUACACACCGCCCGUCACACCACGAGAGUUUGUAACACCCAAAGUCGGUGAGGUAACCAUUNGGAGCCA